GAUGAACGCUGGCGGCGUGCUUAACACAUGCAAGUCGAACGGAAAGGCUCCUGCUUGCAGGGGUACUCGAGUGGCGAACGGGUGAGUAACACGUGGGUGAUCUGCCCUGCACUUCGGGAUAAGCCUGGGAAACUGGGUCUAAUACCGGAUAGGACCACAUUUUGGAUGGUGUGGUGGAAAGUUUUUCGGUGUGGGAUGAGCUCGCGGCCUAUCAGCUUGUUGGUGGGGUAAUGGCCUACCAAGGCGUCGACGGGUAGCCGGCCUGAGAGGGUGUACGGCCACAUUGGGACUGAGAUACGGCCCAGACUCCUACGGGAGGCAGCAGUGGGGAAUAUUGCACAAUGGGCGCAAGCCUGAUGCAGCGACGCCGCGCGGGGGAUGACGGCCUUCGGGUUGUAAACUCCUUUCGCUAGGGACGAAGCGCAAGUGACGGUACCUGGAGAAGAAGCACCGGCUAACUACGUG
rnacentral:rRNA from 1 species